UGGUCAAGUUAUUAAGGGUGCAGGGCGGAUGCCUUGGCACUAGGAGCCGAUGAAGGACGUGAUAAGCUGCGAUAAGCUUCGGGGAGUUGCACGUAAACUUUGAUCCGAAGAUUUCCGAAUGAGGAAACUCACUUAGAGUAAUGUCUAAGUAUCAUUAAGUGAAUACAUAGCUUAAUGAGGGGAACUCAGGGAACUGAAACAUCUAAGUACCUGAAGGAAGAGAAAGAAAUUCGAUUCCGUAAGUAGCGGCGAGCGAACGCGGAUUAGCCCAAACCAAUAAAGUUUUCUUUAUUGGGGUUGCGGACAUAUCAUAACGAAGAGGUAUCGUAAUUGAAGAGGUUUGGAAAGACCCACCACAGAAGGUAAUAGUCCUGUAUGUUAAACGAUAAGACUUUAGAUAUGAUCCAGAGUACCACGGGACACGUGAAACCCUGUGGGAAGCAGGAGGGACCACCCUCCAAGGCUAAAUACUACCUAGUGACCGAUAGCGUAUAGUACCGUGAGGGAAAGGUGAAAAGAACCCCGGGAGGGGAGUGAAAUAGAACCUGAAACCCUGCACUUACAAGCUGUGGAAGCACAUUUCUUGUGUGACCGCGUACUUUUUGUAGAACGGGCCAACGAGUUACGUUAAGUAGCAAGGUUAAGCACUUAAGGUGCGGAGCCGUAGCGAAAGCGAGUUUUAACUGAGCGUUCAGUUACUUGACGUAGACCCGAAACCGGGCGACCUACCCAUGAGCAGGAUGAAGCGAAAGUAAAAUUUCGUGGAGGUCCGAACCCACGAGCG
rnacentral:rRNA from 1 species